rnacentral:rRNA from 1 species
AGUGAACGCUGGCGGCGUGCUUAACACAUGCAAGUCGAACGAGAACGGAUUAUAGCUUGCUAUAAUUGUCAGCUAAGUGGCGCACGGGUGAGUAAUGUGUAGGUAAUAUGCCUCUUACUAAGGGAUAACAAAUGGAAACGUUUGCUAAUACCUUAUACUCCUUAUUAACCUAAGUUAAUAAGGGAAAGAUUUAUUGGUAAGAGAUUAGCCUGUAUUGUAUCAGUUAGUUGGUGGGGUAAUGGCUUACCAAGACUAUGACACAUAACUGGUUUGAGAGGAUGAUCAGUCACACUGGAACUGAGACACGGUCCAGACUCCUACGGGAGGCAGCAGUGGGGAAUAUUGCACAAUGGACGAAAGUCUGAUGCAGCAACGCCGCGUGGAGGAUGACACAUUUCGGUGCGUAAACUCCUUUUAUAUGAGAAGAUAAUGACGGUAUUAUAUGAAUAAGCACCGGCUAACUCCGUGCCAGCAGCCGCCGCGG